GAUACGUGUGUUUCCUCUCCUUCCUGGGAGAGGCAUUUCUUCAUCCCACUAAGCUGUUGGCUUAAAUAUUCAUCAAGCCCUUUCCCACCAUCAGUAAAUAAGCUCCACAAACUCCUGCCACUGCUAAUGGAUCUCUCUGCCCCACUCUCUCCUCAUCCCUCCCGCUCUUCCGUUUACCUUGUCUUCCCAGAGAAUAACUGUGAUGGUAAAGGCUGUGAGUGACUCAGUUUCCAGUGCAUGCUUUCCGCCUCCCCUUUUGAAGAUGAACUUGAAGACACUAAGUCAGCUACAGGACCUUUCUGGCCCCUGAAAUAUCACCAUCAGAAAAGUCCAGGAUGGGACUCCGCCAGCGCACAGACAGAAGCAGCUGAAUCAGUGGGUGGUGGCGCCCAGGGAAAGGGUACCUAAUAUUUAACAGAAAUACACAGCACCCAAGGCAUCAUCAUGACUCGAUCCCAGAUCUCUUUUCACUUGAUCCUGGGGUUCAUCUUAGCAACUCAAUCAGGCACUACCAAAUGAUUAGAAAUGGCUCUGGAGAUGAAAUUCAUUUGCCAACUUGGGUUCCAGGAAACAGAAAGACAUGUGAGUAGUUUCUCUAGUUAUCUAUGUUCUAGUAAUGUAAUGGUGACUUUUUCUGGGGACACAAAGUGAGAAUUUGCCAAUUUUCCUACUUAGUGCCAUUUCAACACCCUGCCUAUUCCUGGGAUAUUUUCAAUCUUUUGAACAGCACCUUCCCAAGAAGGGAGCUCACAGUUCAUUUCCCCAUCUUUCUUUGCAAAUAAACUCCACCAACAAUGUUUGCCUGCA
rnacentral:lncRNA from 1 species